rnacentral:tRNA from 1 species
AGGGGUAUAGUUUAAUGGUAAAACAAAGGUCUCCAAAACCUUCGAUGUGGGUUCGAUUCCUACUACCCCUGCCA